rnacentral:rRNA from 1 species
GACGAACGCUGGCGGCGUGCUUAACACAUGCAAGUCGAGCGGUAAGGCCCUUCGGGGUACACGAGCGGCGAACGGGUGAGUAACACGUGGGUGAUCUGCCCUGCACUUCGGGAUAAGCCUGGGAAACUGGGUCUAAUACCGGAUAUGACCAAGGACUGCAUGGUUUUUGGUGGAAAGGUUUACUGGUGCAGGAUGGGCCCGCGGCCUAUCAGCUUGUUGGUGGGGUAAUGGCCUACCAAGGCGACGACGGGUAGCCGACCUGAGAGGGUGACCGGCCACACUGGGACUGAGACACGGCCCAGACUCCUACGGGAGGCAGCAGUGGGGAAUAUUGCACAAUGGGCGAAAGCCUGAUGCAGCGACGCCGCGUGAGGGAUGACGGCCUUCGGGUUGUAAACCUCUUUCAGCAGGGACGAAGCGAAAGUGACGGUACCUGCAGAAGAAGCACCGGCCAACUACGUGCCAGCCGCCGCCGUAAUAC